CGUCUAUAUACGUAUAGCAUAUCAAUAAGCGGAGGAAAAGAAACUAACAAGGAUUCCCUUAGUAACGGCGAGUGAAGCGGGAAGAGCUCAAAUUUGAAAUCUUCAAGGUUCUACCUUGACGAAUUGUAGUUUAAAGAAGUGUUUCCUGUUAGUGGAGUGGCAAAAGUUCUUUGGAAUAGGACAUCAUAGAGGGUGAGAAUCCCGUAUUUGGUCAUUCCUUCUAGCUUUGUGAUACACUUUCAAAGAGUCGGAUUGUUUGGGAAUGCAGUCCAAAAUGGGUGGUAAAUUUCAUCUAAAGCUAAAUAUUGGCGAGAGACCGAUAGCGAACAAGUACCGUGAGGGAAAGAUGAAAAGAACUUUGAAAAGAGAGUUAAACAGUACGUGAAAUUGUCAAAAGGGAAGCGUUUGACACCAGUGUUGUUUUUCCGAAAAUCAAUUACGAAUGUUUUGUUUCUGAGGAGUUAUGACUUCAUCGGCUUGCCUUCUCUCUUCACGAAACUUUUGUAAUGCACUUUUCGGUUAACAAGUCAACAUCAGUUUCUUUUGUUGUAAAAGAGUAUUCGGAAGGUGGCUUUCUUUUCGGAGAAAGUGUUUAUAGCCCUAUACUUCUACAAUCGGAGAGAUUGAGGUCUGCAGCGUAGAUCCUUCGGGGUUAGAUACACUUGUGCUAAGUUGUAGCUUUUCAUAGACAACUUGUUGACUAUGUUUAGUCAUUGUAGGCUUACUCGCUUGUGCUAUUUUACCUACGCUUAGGAUGUUGACUGAUAUGUAGUCGUA
rnacentral:rRNA from 1 species